rnacentral:rRNA from 1 species
GAUGAACGCUGGCGGCGUGCUUAACACAUGCAAGUCGAACGAAGCACUUUAUUUGAUUUCCUUCGGGACUGAUUAUUUUUGACUGAGUGGCGGACGGGUGAGUAACGCGUGGGUAACCUGCCUUGUACAGGGGGAUAACAGUUGGAAACGGCUGCUAAUACCGCAUAAGCGCACAGCAUCGCAUGAUGCAGUGUGAAAAACUCCGGUGGUAUAAGAUGGACCCGCGUUGGAUUAGCUAGUUGGUGAGGUAACGGCCCACCAAGGCGACGAUCCAUAGCCGACCUGAGAGGGUGACCGGCCACAUUGGGACUGAGACACGGCCCAAACUCCUACGGGAGGCAGCAGUGGGGAAUAUUGCACAAUGGGCGAAAGCCUGAUGCAGCGACGCCGCGUGAGCGAAGAAGUAUUUCGGUAUGUAAAGCUCUAUCAGCAGGGAAGAUAAUGACGGUACCUGACUAAGAAGCACCGGCUAAAUACGUG